CCUACGGGUGGCAGCAGUAGGGAAUAUUGCUCAAUGGGCGAAACCCUGAAGCAGCAACGCCGCGUGGGGGAUGAAGGUUUUCGGAGUGUAAACUCCUUUUUUUAGAGAAGAUAAUGACGGUAUCUGACGAAGAAGCACCGGCUAACUACGUGCCAGCAGCCGCGGUAAUACGGAGGGUGCCAGCGUUACUCGGAAUGACUGGGCGUAAAGCGGGCGUAGGCGGGAUAGCAAGCCAGAUGUGAAAUCCUAUGGCUUAACCAUGGAACUGCAGUUGAAACUGUUAAUCUAGAGUACGGGAGAGGCAGGCGGAAUUCGUGGGGUAGGGGUAAAAUCCGUAGAUAUCAAGAGGAAUACUGAUUGCGAAGGCGACCUGCUAGAACGUAACUGACGCUGAUGCGCGAAAGCGUGGGGAGCAAACAGGAUUAGAUACCCGAGUAGUC
rnacentral:rRNA from 1 species